rnacentral:rRNA from 1 species
GGGACACGUGGUAUCCUGUCUGAAUAUGGGGGGACCAUCCUCCAAGGCUAAAUACUCCUGACUGACCGAUAGUGAACCAGUACCGUGAGGGAAAGGCGAAAAGAACCCCGGCGAGGGGAGUGAAAAAGAACCUGAAACCGUGUACGUACAAGCAGUGGGAGCACGCUUAGGCGUGUGACUGCGUACCUUUUGUAUAAUGGGUCAGCGACUUAUAUUCUGUAGCAAGGUUAACCGAAUAGGGGAGCCGAAGGGAAACCGAGUCUUAACUGGGCGUUAAGUUGCAGGGUAUAGACCCGAAACCCGGUGAUCUAGCCAUGGGCAGGUUGAAGGUUGGGUAACACUAACUGGAGGACCGAACCGACUAAUGUUGAAAAAUUAGCGGAUGACUUGUGGCUGGGGGUGAAAGGCCAAUCAAACCGGGAGAUAGCUGGUUCUCCCCGAAAGCUAUUUAGGUAGCGCCUCGUGAAUUCAUCUCCGGGGGUAGAGCACUGUUUCGGCAAGGGGGUCAUCCCGACUUACCAACCCGAUGCAAACUGCGAAUACCGGAGAAUGUUAUCACGGGAGACACACGGCGGGUGCUAACGUCCGUCGUGAAGAGGGAAACAACCCAGACCGCCAGCUAAGGUCCCAAAGUCAUGGUUAAGUGGGAAACGAUGUGGGAAGGCCCAGACAGCCAGGAUGUUGGCUUAGAAGCAGCCAUCAUUUAAAGAAAGCGUAAUAGCUCACUGGUCGAGUCGGCCUGCGCGGAAGAUGUAACGGGGCUAAACCAUGCACCGAAGCUGCGGCAGCGACGCUUAUGCGUUGUUGGGUAGGGGAGCGUUCUGUAAGCCUGUGAAGGUGUGCUGUGAGGCAUGCUGGAGGUAUCAGAAGUGCGAAUGCUGACAUAAGUAACGAUAAAGCGGGUGAAAAGCCCGCUCGCCGGAAGACCAAGGGUUCCUGUCCAACGUUAAUCGGGGCAGGGUGAGUCGACCCCUAAGGCGAGGCCGAAAGGCGUAGUCGAUGGGAAACAGGUUAAUAUUCCUGUACUUGGUGUUACUGCGAAGGGGGGACGGAGAAGGCUAUGUUGGCCGGGCGACGGUUGUCCCGGUUUAAGCGUGUAGGCUGGUUUUCCAGGCAAAUCCGGAAAAUCAAGGCUGAGGCGUGAUGACGAGGCACUACGGUGCUGAAGCAACAAAUGCCCUGCUUCCAGGAAAAGCCUCUAAGCAUCAGGUAACAUCAAAUCGUACCCCAAACCGACACAGGUGGUCAGGUAGA